rnacentral:rRNA from 1 species
CCUACGGGUGGCAGCAGUCGAGAAUCAUUCACAAUGGGGGAAACCCUGAUGGUGCGACGCCGCGUGGGGGAAUGAAGGUCUUCGGAUUGUAAACCCCUGUCAUGUGGGAGCAAAUUAAAAAGAUAGUACCACAAGAGGAAGAGACGGCUAACUCUGUGCCAGCAGCCGCGGUAAUACAGAGGUCUCAAGCGUUGUUCGGAAUCACUUGGCGUAAGGCGUGCGUAGGCUGUUUCGUAAGUCGUGUGUGAAAGGCGCGGGCUCAACCCGCGGACGGCACAUGAUACUGCGAGACUAGAGUAAUGGAGGGGGAACCGGAAUUCUCGGUGUAGCAGUGAAAUGCGUAGAUAUCGAGAGGAACACUCGUGGCGAAGGCGGGUUCCUGGACAUUAACUGACGCUGAGGCACGAAGGCCAGGGGAGCGAAAGGGAUUAGAUACCCCGGUAGUC